GUGUCAGCAGCCGCGGUAACCCAGGAGCCACAAGUGGCAACCACCUUUAUUUGGCCUAAAGCGUCCGUAGCCGGCUAUGUAAAUUUCCUGUGAAAUCGUUGCGCUCAACGUAACGGCGCGCAGGGAACACUGCAUGGCUCGGGACCGGGAGGAGUUGGAGGUAUUUGAGGGGGAGCGGUAAAAUGCUAUAAUCCUUCAAGGACCACCUGUGGCGAAGGCGUCCAACUAGAACGGAUCCGACGGUGAGGGACGAAAGCUAGGGGAGCAAUCCGGAUUAGAAACCCCAGUAGUCC
rnacentral:rRNA from 1 species